rnacentral:lncRNA from 1 species
GGGGAAGUAGUCGUUGAUACAUAGUGGCAGCCACUACAAUCCAAGAAAAACAAAAGUGAUAAAUGCAAUAAACGAGGACAAAUAGAAAAGCUUUUCAAGAAAAUAUUAAAUAAAUCUACCAGUCUUGCUCAAAGUAGGAGCGGCACAGAUUAACUUGGAACUGAUGGACGGGUCUUGUCUACGUUUGAACGGGGAUGAACAGUGAUAUUUUUUCUAUUUCCUUUUUAGAUAUUUACGAAGGAAUACA